GUCCAAAAUACUCAAAAUUCAGAACUAAUUUAAAACAAAAAUUCUCAUUUAGUAAUCAAUGUCACAAUUUUGCAAAGAAAUAUUCGAUUUUAUUCGCUUUAUAAGUAAUAAGAGGCACUGAAAAAACUUAAUACUUUAACGCCCUAAACUUAUAAGGUUGUCUUUCAGUAUGUCAAAAGCCAAAAUAGUCCAAGGUGUAAAUUAAUGUCUAAUGCAUUGAAACUGUAACGAAAUUUUUUUAAACAAUUUAAAUAAUAUUUAUAAAGUAAAAAGGUUAAUUGUCUUCCGGAAAAUCUUCAGCAUUUUGAACAGUAGGAUGAUUUCUGUAAUUGUUCUAAUAUUCCUUUGGUAUCGAUUUAAGCUGUAUCAUCAAGUUAUCGUAAUUUCCGUUACUGAUGAAUUUGUGAUCAUUUCUAAGCUGGAGAAGGCAAUAUCAAAGACUUUUUGGUUUUCUUCUUACUUUCACACAAGAGGAAAUUUUACAAUUUCUGGUAAGAUUAGCUCAGUCGUUACAGGUGAAAAAAUUAAAAUUAUUUUCCUACAUGCUUAGUGUUUCAUUUUGUAAAUAAUGCCGUUUGUUAUAGAAAGUGUGUCCAAUGUUCACUUUUAAUUAUUAUUUAUUUUUUGGAAAAAAUGGACUAGGCUGUUGAUGCUCACAAACAAAAAUAAAGCGAAAUUAAACUCAUCUGACAAUGUUAACAAAAAUAUUUAUCACUUCACCUGUUGAUAAAAUGCUGACUAAUUAAAUUAGCAUUUGCUUUUUUGGUGUGUUUAUUUGUGAAAUGAUCUUAGGUUUUUCUUUCGAUUUACGUUCCAUUGCAACUCUCAAAACCCACAUUCGAAACGGUAACAACAAAAUAAUCGGCUGUUAAACGCGAAUUUAUUACAUCAUUAACGGCCAAACAAGCCCAUUAAUUACAAUUGCUUGCACAAUGGGAGUAAUACUGACCAGAUCACUUUUGUUCCUGAAUCCAGUAAAGCAGACAACGACCCCCGUCAUAGCCAGGUUGAAGAGGGGCCUCGUGUUGUCUGGAAGUGGCUCAUUCUUGUUGGCUAGCUGCUGCAGAGCCAAGGGCCCCAUAAGGGACUGCUUCUGUUUAUAUAAACAAUUAAAUACGUCUCCUUCGAAACUCUCUAAUAUAAAAACGGUACUAAAA